rnacentral:lncRNA from 1 species
CGUUGACGUAGUUUGUAAUCCCUCAUCGGUUCUUGCUUUGAGUCGUCGUUCACCGAACUUCUUUUGUCUUCCGUCUUGUUCAUUACUGACGUAGUUUGAAGGUUCCUGAUCGCCGCCAUAUCGAUUUGCCCUUAGGGACUAGAGAUUUUCAACAAGGAUUUUCUCUCUCAUCGAGACGAGGUCCCUUGUGCCUUUGAUGUAGUUCAUUUUUCACCUAUCACCAGUGUAGUUCGUCGCUUUUUCUUUUCAUCUCCCCUUUUCUUCUGUGUUUGAGUGAGGAUC